rnacentral:rRNA from 1 species
AGAGUUUGAUCCUGCAUCAGGAUGAACGCUGGCGGCGUGCUUAACACAUGCAAGUCGAGCGGAAAUAUUUAAAAGCUUGCUUUUAGAUAUUUUAGCGGCGGACGGGUGAGUAACGUGUGGGUAACCUGCCAUAUACUGGGGAAUAAUCAUUGGAAACGAUGACUAAUACCGCAUGUGGUCACGAGAUGGCAUCAUCUUGUGAAGAAAGGGCUUCGGCUCGGUAUAUGAUGGACCCGCAUCUGAUCAGCUAGUUGGUGAGAUAACAGCUCACCAAGGCGACGAUCAGUAGCCGACCUGAGAGGGUGAUCGGCCACAUUGGGACUGAGACACGGCCCAAACUCCUACGGGAGGCAGCAGUGGGGAAUAUUGCACAAUGGGCGAAAGCCUGAUGCAGCAACGCCGCGUGAAGGAAGAAGGGUUUCGGCUCGUAAACUUCUAUCAAUGGGGAAGAAACAAAUGACGGUACCCAAAUAAGAAGCCCCGGCUAACUACGUGCCAGCAGCCGCGGUAAUACGUAGGGGGCAAGCGUUAUCCGGAAUUACUGGGUGUAAAGGGAGCGUAGGCGGUAUGAUAAGCCAGAUGUGAAAGCCCGAAGCUUAACUUCGUGGAUUGCAUUUGGAACUAUCAAACUAGAGUACAGGAGAGGUAAGUGGAAUUCCUAGUGUAGCGGUGAAAUGCGUAGAUAUUAGGAAGAACACCAGUGGCGAAGGCGACUUACUGGACUGAAACUGACGCUGAGGCUCGAAAGCGUGGGGAGCGAACAGGAUUAGAUACCCUGGUAGUCCACGCUGUAAACGAUGAGUGCUAGGUGUCGGAGGGGAACCUUCGGUGCCGCAGCUAACGCAAUAAGCACUCCACCUGGGGAGUACGAUCGCAAGAUUGAAACUAAAGGAAUUGACGG